rnacentral:rRNA from 1 species
UGGGGAAUAUUGGACAAUGGGCGAAAGCCUGAUCCAGCCAUGCCGCGUGUGUGAAGAAGGUCUUCGGAUUGUAAAGCACUUUAAGUUGGGAGGAAGGGCAGUAAGCGAAUACCUUGCUGUUUUGACGUUACCGACAGAAUAAGCACCGGCUAACUCUGUGCCAGCAGCCGCGGUAAUACAGAGGGUGCAAGCGUUAAUCGGAAUUACUGGGCGUAAAGCGCGCGUAGGUGGUUCGUUAAGUUGAAUGUGAAAGCCCCGGGCUCAACCUGGGAACAGCAUCCGAAACUGGCGAGCUAGAGUAGGGCAGAGGGUGGUGGAAUUUCCUGUGUAGCGGUGAAAUGCGUAGAUGUAGGAAGGAACACCAGUGGCGAAGGCGACCACCUGGGCUCAUACUGACACUGAGGUGCGAAAGCGUGGGGGGCAAACAGG